AUUAAUUUUGGUUCUUUUUCGAGUGAAACGGCCUCUACUGCUUAUUGUAAAGUGUUACCAAAUGAAUUAAACCUAAAUAGUGAUAUUAAAAAAAAAAAAAAACUAAUAAAAUGACUAAAAAUUAAACUAAAAUUAACAUGAAAACAACUAAAAAUAAAAGCUGAUUCAAAGCAUUAAUAAAACCAUGAUAAAGUAGCCGAUUUAUUCCACUUCAGUGUUUAUUUAAUAUUGCCAAGAAUGUGAACAUCUAUUAACUGCAGCCCUUCAUCUCUCUCGCCCUCCUCGUUACACUCGUGUGUUCGUGACUGGCCUGGUGGGUGUACGUGCUUGUCUGUGAAAUUAUGAAUGAGUGUGUGUGUGUGUGUGUGUGUGUGUGUGUGUGAGAGAGAGAAAGGGAGGGAUGGAGCGACUGCAUCGUGAAACGAGAAGGAUUCACUUACUGGCUGCACCGCUUCACUGACAGACAGGAGGAGGCAGCUGCUCAGGUAGAUCGGAGUGUGUUUGAGGAGAGCGUCUACAGUUAAAUCAUGGAUCAGAAGUCCACUUCCCCCCAGAGACACGCAGUGAAAAGCAGGUCGAAGUCUACAGAUGAAGUCCAGCAAGCUAAAAAGGCCUUCCACAUCCCCCAGAAAUCACUACCUGGUGGGUCAGAACUGGAAAAGGUGAAGGAGGGACCAGAGGAAAAUGUGACUCCAGCAUCAUCCACAGAAGAGCUGAAAUGAUGCUGCCAUUAAUCUGUUACACACACACACACACACACACACACACACACACACACUUGGUUUUUAUAAACAAGUUUGGUAUGGUACAGUUACAGAAUUAACUCUUCCUUCUGUUGGAUCAGUUUUCAGUCCAUCAUCCUGCAGCACAUUCAGCCUGUUCGACGAGUCCGUCUCCGCUGCGUCUCUGUACUCUGACAUGCUGUUUAUAUAAACUCAAUCAUUUCACUAUGAACAUGAGGGCAUGUGUGUUUUUACAGUAAAGAAGCUCAAGCUGAAUGAAGUCAUUGGUCAAAGCAAAUAAACUUAAAAUUAGGCUUAAAACAAAUUAGGAGCCAUCCGCCUGGCUGCAAUUUUUUCAGGAUAUUGCCUUUUGUCAGUAAGGUUCAAGAUUAUUGUAUUUAUGAUUAAUAUCAUCUAUCCUACUUUCCAUGGUAUUAUUUCAUUAUAACAGGUGUGUUUUCACAGGAAAGAACUGCAUGCUGAUUUAAAUCUGAGGUCAAAUAAAUGUAAAAUUAGGCUCAAUGUAAAUAAUUAUAGUUUGUAGUAGCUUGUAUAGCUUUGAAAUGAUAGUGUACUACUAAAAUAUACAAAUAUUUAGUUUACAGCUUUUUAUUGGAAGAUGAACCAAAAAUACUGACUUAUCUUUUUUACUGGGGCAUAUAUUUUUGUCAAAAUGAAUGCUCUAAUCUCCUGCCUCUGACUAGAAAAAGUAUUUUAAUUAAUUUAUUUAUUGCAUUUAGGAUUAAUAUCAUCUGCUUUAUCCUAUUUCCUUGUUUAUUACCUCAUCGUCACACUCUUAGAAGAAAAGGUUUUAAAUCAGAUCUCUUAAAGGGGACCUAUAAUGCCCCUUUCAUAAGAUGUAAUAUAAGUCUGAAGUUUCAGCUCAAAAUACCCCACAGAUCAUUUAUUAUAGCUUGUCAAAUUUGCCCCUAUUUGGGUGUGAGCAAAAACACACCGUUUUUGUGUGUGUCCCUUUAAAUGCCAAUGAGCUGCUGCUCCCGGCCCCCUUUCCAGAAGAGGGCGGAGCUUUAACAGCUCGCGCUUCGGUCGCUCAACAACAACAAAGCUGGAGAAUCUCACGCAGCCAAAAUGAGGAUUGUCAGUAACGGUGUUCAGCCUUACAUUGUUCAAACCGGAGUCGACACUGAUGGAGAGACUCAGGAAGAAGUUACAACUUUUAGAAUGAAACUGGAUGUUUCUGAAUGGUUAGUGGAUAAAUUUAUGUACACUGUUGCGAAACAAAAUGGCGGCACUGUGGGUGGAAACGUGCAUAUUAAGGGACGGUAAUAUUAUAAUAAGAUCCCCUUCCUACAUUUUCAUAAGUCCCCUUUGAAGGGUUCUAUCAUGGGAUAAUUCUGUGGAUUUAGUUUUAAUUCAUUCGUUUUGUUUUAAUUCAUUCAAUUAAACAGCUUGUAUACUUUAUCACUAGAAAAAAAUGAAAUAAAUGAUUUGCAUAAUACUUUCAUGUUUAAUGGGUUAAGACAUUUCUCCUUAUGAAGAACAUGUUAAAAAAGCUUGCAAGCAAGUUAAGUACUGAGGUGGAGCUCAGAGUUUGUAACCGUAAGGUUUUACCGUGGUACCAUGUCGAAAAAAACCAUUGUGUAACCGUAGUACCAGGAAACACUGAACCGUACAGGUCUCAUUUGUUAACAUAAGUUAAUGCAUUAACUGAAUAAGCAAUACAUUUUGACAGUAUUUAUUAAUCUUUAUUAAUGUUAGUUAAUAAAAAUGUUCAUGUUAGUUCACAGUGCAUUAACUAAUGUUAACAGAUACAACUUGUGACCCUAAUAAUGUUUUAGUAAAUGUUGAGAUUAACAUUAACUAAGAUUAAGAAACCAGUUUCAUUGGUAAUUCAUGUAUGAGACCUUACUGUAAAGUGUUACCAGUAUGUUUUCCUAGUGUUUAGGCUUGUUUAUCUUGUGUUUUUGAUGCCACUCCAGCUCUCUCGUGUAUUUGGGCCCCAAAGUCAAAUGGUGUCAAACGCUUAUUUGUUGACUUAUUUAUUGGCAUCAGCUGAAAUUACAGAGCUGACAUACUGUAUGACUCAGCUGAAGAUGUUGUGUAAGUGUUUACAGUAGGCUACCCAGGUUAAAAGUUUGUGCUAAUUACUAAUAAAGUUUAAACCGCUCAUCA